AUACUUACCUGGCAUGGGAGAUACCAUGAUCACGAAGGUGGGUUUCCCAAGGCAAGGUUUAUCCGUUGCCCUCCAGAUGUGCUGACCCCUGCGAUUUCCCCAAAUGUGGGAAACUCGACUGCAUAAUUUGUGUUAAAAAAAUUAAUUUUUA
ensembl:snRNA U1 U1 spliceosomal RNA